AUUGGAGGCAUUUUGUACGUGAACAACAACUACGGGAGUAAAGGGAAAGAACUCCUAAUGAGAUACGCCAAUGAAAGUGAUAUCUGCAUCGGAAAAGCCAUCGAACUUCAAGAAGCAGAAGACAAUUCUUACGAUGUAAUUGAUGAAAUGAAAAGAACCAACUCCGACGUGUUUUUGUACUUUGGGACGGACGUACGUCUGAAAUCUCUGCUGGUCAAAAUGAAGACGGACAGAUAUAAGUCUGUGGUUUUCCUGGCCAGCGAGGACUGGGGGGAGAGGCAGGACAUUCUAGACGAGCACGGCGAUGCUGUGAUUGGUUCGAUCACGUCCAAGUUCGAAACUAGAUCAGCCGUAACCGGAUUUGAUUCCUAUUUACAGGAUCUCAAGCCCGACGUCCAAAACUCGAACGACUGGUUUCGGAAAUUUUGGACCAACUUCUUUAACUGUAAUCCUCCUGGGAGAUUCGACAAGACCAAAACCAAUGAUUGUCCUCCCAGUACGGGGUUCACUCGGUCGAACAUUGAGCAGUUGGUCAAAAAUCAGCGUAUUGUCCACGUCAUGAACGCGGUGUUCGCUGUGGGGACGGCCAUGGUCCGGGUGAAAGAGAAGCUGUGUCAGGGAGUCUCGUACCCGUGCGAAAACAUCAAGAGUCAUGUGGAUGACGUGGUGAAGGAAAUCCAGGCUGUGGAAUUGUCAGGUGGCGGUUUAACCUUCUCCGUGUUCAAUGCAAAUCGAAAUGGGAAUGUUGGAUUCCAAAUUCUCAAUAUACAGAAGAGAGAUGUUACGUCUUACCAAUACAGACAGGUUGGAGAGUACAAGAAUGGACAACUAACGCUCUCUUCCAACUUCCGGUUCUAUAACGCCAGUGGUAAUCCCCGGGAGAUAAAAGCGCUGUGCACCAAGGAAACCUGUUCACACUGUAUAUUCUCCAAACCUGCAGAGAGCGCCCCAAGCAGGCCUGCAGUCAUUCCGAAUGGGACCGAGGAGUUCCGCAUAGCUGAAAUCAUUUUAAUCGCGCUACUCGGAUUUUUCUUGGUUCUCUUCAUCUUUUCAAUAGUUAUCAUAACGAGAUACUUCAAAUCCAAAAUCAAAGGUAUCAUAGAAAAUAAACCGAAAGUAAUGUAUGUUAACGAGACACCUGCUGCGUCGAAUCCCUUACUUUCAGGAAAAGAAAUCCAUUUUCAGAAUCCGGGUCACUCCAAUGGCUCCAUGUCCGUAAGGAACGACGGAUCAUCCGGACAACGUGGUUUUGACAACCAAGCCUUCGUUCGCGAAAGCUACAAUCAUUUAAACGACGGCUCAGAAACCUCUUCUUCUCGAGGACAGAGGCUGGACUACUCUCCUCUCUCCCCAGACCCGCCGGUGGUCGGGGGAAAACGGAUCAAAAGGACGAGCGAAAGUCAGGAAUUUCGACCCGAGUUGCCUCCAAGAGAUCAUCCGCCGUCGCGGAUAAAGUACAACAGUAACUCGUCUCUUGACAGCGGCGGGACAACGACCCCCACCGUGCCUAAGAUGGGGAUUACACGCUCUAUGCAGGCCAAUGGGCAGGUGCCCGGGGACUCUGGUACCCCGUCCCCGACUGGACCGAAAUCGGCACGUCUCCUUCCAACCAUUGACCCCAUCACUCACACUCCAGUAUCGCCAUUAGCAUCACCCACACACUCAUCGUCGUCCUCAAGUCAGAAAAUGGGGCCCUCUCCGCGGGUCAUUUUACGAAAUUUACCCUUGGCUGAUAAAAAUAUGCACUCCCCUUCAGGAGGUUAUCAGAUGACGUCAGCGCAUUUAUCUCACAACCUUAAUUCACCACAUGGAAGUGUUUCGCCGGAAGAUAUAUCCGCGGAAUUUCCUCCACCUCCGGAUUUUACUCAACCAAUUCCAACUUCCGUUCCUCAAACUGCAAAAAUAAAAUCUAGAAUCAGCGCUAGCAGGUCCGCAGAAGAAGCCGCCCGCAUUUCUAGAGUUUGAUUGUUUACAAUUGUAUGAAUUGUACCGAUAUCCGGAAUGAGAAUCUCAUAAUCAUUUCCAGUUUUAUAUAAUUCAUAGAAGGAAAAAAUCGUAUCCGGAAAGGGAAAUUCACGAUACCAGGGAUCAUUGCAUGAAUUUUUAUAAAUAAAUGUGUUUACUGUUCCUACAUUCAAUGUAGGACCAUAUGUCAUUAAUGUCACGUCAUCAGAGUUAUCGAACUUUAUGUUUGCAUCAGUUACCAAAAAGUCAGAAAGCUUUCUACGUGGACGUCAUUUUAAAAGUGACUUCUGUUUUCACUUGGAAAUCAGAUUUUUGAUAGACUGAUAUUAUUACUCAUUUUGAUUAGAACAGGAUUCUUGUUACCUUUAUUCGUUACAUCAUUCUUUUCAUCAUUGACAUACGACUUAUGCAAGUCGAGAUAUUACUACACGUAUAAGAUUGUGAAUACUAUUUUUUAAAAAUGUUUAUAAAAAUAAAAUAAAUAUAUUUAUU
rnacentral:misc_RNA from 1 species